rnacentral:lncRNA from 1 species
GUCUCAAACUCCUGGGUUCAAGCAGUCCUCUCUCCUCGGCCUCCCAAAGUGUUGGCAUGACAGGCAUGAGCCGCUACACCCGACCUAUAAUUCUGGCUAUAUCAUUCCUUGGUCAACCACCUUCAAUGGCACCCUCUUGCCUACUGAAAGAAAACAUGGUGUCGACUCCCAAGAUGGACUCAAUGGACGUGUCACUUGCCAGAACUUCAAUCUUGAAUUCAUCCAUCACAUAUUUCCAGAACUGGGAGGACUUGAUGCUGAAGGGGUCAAAGAACUACAAAUGGAUAGCAUAUCGAGACUGACCUGGGGGCAAGAAUCAUGUCACACAGUAACCUCCUCCCGGACUAAGCCCUUCGGUACGAUGCCCAAGGCACAUAGGAUAAGAUCCAGGGCAUCACCUCCCUCUCGGGCUGGGCACUGCCACACCGCAGCCGGACCUGCUUUGUACUCACUAUGGUUCCUCUAGCAUUAAGACAUCUGAGUACCCGGCACACCAAGGAACACAUGUACCUACUGCAUCAGUAUCUUGGGUAUCUGCUGCCCGGAAGGACACCUCGCCUUUAUUACCACCACCUGCCCCAGUAUCUGCUUGUCUCCAUUCCUAUCAUUUUUAACCAGGAGCAGAGAGAAAUCUUGACCGGGGAAGGGGGGCAGAAAGAGGAAAAAAAAGGAAACAAAGGACACGCUGGGCUCUCUGCAGGUCCUCUGAACAGACCAGAACCACCUGUCCCCCAAAAAUAAUCUAGGGAAACUGUUCAAGGGUUAUAUGAGCCUGUAGGUUUAACAAGCAGAGAGUGAGUGACAACGUGUGGAGUUGGGGAUGAGGUCUCUUCUCCCCACCUGGCCAGAACCCCCAACACCCGACGCCAUCUGGCACCUCCAGAAUCGGCAGCUUUGAGAGUUUCCAGAGACAGCAUCUUCGGCGAGGAAUCCAUCAGCUUUUCACCAUGAGGUGAUAGUGGAGAAGGGACGGGAAUGGAAGGGAAGACCAGGGACAGAGACAGCCCAGAAACGGGUCAGGGGGCGGGGUGGGGGAGUUCUGAGCUCCCUUUGGAGGGUCCAGGAAUUAACCAGGGGGACCCUCUGAGGUGAGACUGAACUCUGCUUCCACACUGGAUGACAUUUGGGCUAAACACGUGCUAGUAAACACAGCAGACAACAGCCACCCCACCGUUAACAGAGGCCCUUGGAGGGCUUCUGCAAGAAAUCCAAGUCACAUCCAUUGUUUUAGGGUCUUGUAAUUUUUUUUUAAUGUAAACGAAACCCGAGUUCCUGCAGUGGUGGUACAUGUUAAACGGUCAAUCCUGCGAGUGUGUUUUUGGUUUCCAUAAUUUCACUUGGUGCCAAUGAAAGUGCCUACAUCCGAGGUCCAGUUAUAAUCUAAUGUUCAGGUCCAAAGGUCUGCCAGGGAGAAAAAAAUAAUAGGCUGGAAGGUUAAAUUCCAAAACGUGAUCACGUGGUCCUCUCUCCAGAUGGCACUAGGGAUUUGUUAUUGUUGUUUAUUUAUGGUUUUGGAUUUAUGAUGAAGGCGUUUUAUUUUGUGCAAGCAAAUAAUGAAUAUUUAAAAUAAAUGAAGGUGGCCAAGCGCGAUGGUUCACACCUGUAAUCCCAGCACUUCGG